CUUGGCUAAUGUGUCUUGGCUAAGGUGUCUUGGCUAAGGUGUCUUGGCUUAUGUGUCUUGGCUAAUGUGUCUUGGCUAAUGUGUCUCGGCUAAUGUGUCUUGGCUAAUGUGUCUUGGCUAAUGUGUCUUGGCUAAUGUGUCUCGGCUAAUGUGUUUUGGCUAUUGUGUCUUGGCUUAUGUGUCUUGGCUAAGGUGUCUUGGCUAAUGUGUCUUGGCUAAUGUGUCUUGGCUAAUGUGUCUUGGCUAAGGUGUCUUGGCUAAGGUGUCUUGGCUUAUGUGUCUUGGCUAAUGUGUCUUGGCUAAUGUGUCUCGGCUAAGGUGUCUUGGCUAAUGUGUCUUGGCUAAUGUGUCUUGGCUAAUGUGUCUCGGCUAAUGUGUCUUGGCUAAUGUGUCUUGGCUAAUGUGUCUUGGCUAAUGUGUCUUGGCUAAUGUGUCUUAGCUAAUAUGUCUUGGCUAAUGUGUCUUGGCUAAAGUGUCUUGGCUAAUGUGUCUUGGCUAAUGUGUCUUGGCUAAUGUGUCUUGGCUAAGGUGUCUUGGCUAAGGUGUCUUGGCUUAUGUGUCUUGGCUAAUGUGUCUUGGCUAAUGUGUCUCGGCUAAUGUGUCUUGGCUAAUGUGUCUUGGCUAAUGUGUCUUGGCUAAUGUGUCUCGGCUAAUGUGUUUUGGCUAUUGUGUCUUGGCUUAUGUGUCUUGGCUAAGGUGUCUUGGCUAAUGUGUCUUGGCUAAUGUGUCUUGGCUAAGGUGUCUUGGCUAAGGUGUCUUGGCUAAUGUGUCUUAGCUAAUGUGUCUUGGCUAAGGUGUCUUGGCUAAUGUGUCUUGGCUAAUGUGUCUUAGCUAAGGUGUCUUGGCUAGUGUGUCUUGGCUAAGGUGUCUUGGCUAAUGUGUCUUGGCUAAUGUGUCUUGGCUAAGGUGUCUUGGCUAAGGUGUCUUGGCUAAUGUGUCUUGGCUAAUGUGUCUUGGCUAAGGUGUCUUGGCUAAGGUGUCUUGGCUAAUGUGUCUUGGCUAAUGUGUCUUGGCUAAGGUGUCUUGGCUAAGGUGUCUUGGCUAAGGUGUCUUGGCUAAGGUGUCUUGGCUAAUGUGUCUUGGCUAAGGUGUCUUGGCUAAGGUGUCUUGGCUAAUGUGUCUUGGCUAAUGUGUCUUGGCUAAUGUGUCUUGGCUAAGGUGUCUUGGCUAAGGUGUCUCGGCUAAUGUGUCUUGGCUAAGGUGUCUUGGCUAAUGUGUCUUGGCUAAGGUGUCUUGGCUAAGGUGUCUUGGCUAAUGUGUCUUGGCUAAGGUGUCUCGGCUAAUGUGUCUUGGCUAAUGUGUCUUGGCUAAUGUGUCUUGGCUAAUGUGUCUUGGCUAAGGUGUCUUGGCUAAUGUUUCUUGUAUAAUGUGUCUUGGCUAAUGUGUCUUGGCUAAGGUGUCUUGGUUAAUGUGUCUUGGCUAAUGUGUCUUGGCUAAUGUGUCUUGGCUAAUGUGUCUUGCCUAAUGUGUCUUGGCUAAGGUGUCUUGGCUAAUGUGUCUUGGCUAAGGUGUCUUGGCUAAGGUGUCUUGGCUAAUGUGUCUUGGCUAAUGUGUCUUGGCUAAUGUGUCUUGGCUAAGGUGUCUUGGCUAAGGUGUCUCGGCUAAUGUGUCUUGGCUAAGGUGUCUUGGCUAAGGUGUCUCGGCUAAUGUGUCUUGGCUAAGGUGUCUUGGCUAAUGUGUCUUGGCUAAGGUGUCUCGGCUAAUGUGUCUUGGCUAAGGUGUCUUGGCUAAUGUGUCUUGGCUAAUGUGUCUUGGCUAAUGUGUCUUGGCUAAGGUGUCUUGGCUAAUGUGUCUUGGCUAAUGUGUCUUGGCUAAGGUGUCUUGGCUAAGGUGUCUUGGCUAAGGUGUCUUGGCUAAGGUGUCUUGGCUAAUGUGUCUUGGCUAAGGUGUCUUGGCUAAGGUGUCUUGGCUAAUGUGUCUUGGCUAAUGUGUCUUGGCUAAUGUGUCUUGGCUAAGGUGUCUUGGCUAAGGUGUCUCGGCUAAUGUGUCUUGGCUAAGGUGUCUUGGCUAAGGUGUCUCGGCUAAUGUGUCUUGGCUAAGGUGUCUUGGCUAAUGUGUCUUGGCUAAGGUGUCUCGGCUAAUGUGUCUUGGCUAAGGUGUCUUGGCUAAUGUGUCUUGGCUAAGGUGUCUUGGCUAAGGUGUCUUGGCUAAUGUGUCUUGGCUAAGGUGUCUUGGCUAAUGUGUCUUGGCUAAUGUGUCUUGGCUAAUGUGUCUUGGCUAAGGUGUCUUGGCUAAUGUUUCUUGUAUAAUGUGUCUUGGCUAAUGUGUCUUGGCUAAGGUGUCUUGGUUAAGGUGUCUUGGCUAAUGUGUCUUGGCUAAGGUGUCUUGGCUAAUGUGUCUUGCCUAAUGUGUCUUGGCUAAGGUGUCUUGGCUAAUGUGUCUUGGCUAAGGUGUCUUGGCUAAUGUGUCUUGGCUAAUGUGUCUUGGCUAAGGUGUCUUGGCUAAUGUGUCUUGGCUAAGGUGUCUUGGCUAAUGUGUCUUGGCUAAGGUGUCUUGGCUAAUGUGUCUUGUCUAAUGUGUCUUGGCUAAGGUGUCUUGGCUAAUGUGUCUUGGCUAAUGUGUCUUAGCUAAGGUGUCUUGGCUAGUGUGUCUUGGCUAAGGUGUCUUGGCUAAUGUGUCUUGGCUAAUGUGUCUUGGCUAAGGUGUCUUGGCUAAUGUUUCUUGUAUAAUGUGUCUUGGCUAAUGUGUCUUGGCUAAGGUGUCUUGGUUAAGGUGUCUUGGCUAAUGUGUCUUGGCUAAGGUGUCUUGGCUAAGGUGUCUUGGCUAAGGUGUCUUGGCUAAUGUGUCUUGGCUAAUGUGUCUUGGCUAAUGUGUCUCGGCUAAUGUGUCUUGGCUAAUGUGUCUUGGCUAAUGUGUCUUGGCUAAUGUGUCUCGGCUAAUGUGUUUUGGCUAUUGUGUCUUGGCUUAUGUGUCUUGGCUAAGGUGUCUUGGCUAAUGUGUCUUGGCUAAUGUGUCUUGGCUAAGGUGUCUUGGCUAAUGUGUCUUGGCUAAGGUGUCUUGGCUAAGGUGUCUUGGCUAAGGUGUCUUGGCUAAUGUGUCUUGGCUAAUGUGUCUUGGCUAAUGUGUCUCGGCUAAUGUGUCUUGGCUAAUGUGUCUUGGAUAAAGUGUCUUGGCUAACGUGUCUUGGCUAAGGUGUCUUGGCUAAUGUGUCUUGGCUAAUGUGUCUUGGCUAAUGUGUCUUGGCUAAUGUGUCUUGGCUAAGGUGUCUUUUCUAAGGUGUCUUGGCUAAUGUGUCUUGGCUAAUGUGUCUUGGCUAAUGUGUCUUGGCUAAGGUGUCUUGGCUAAUGUGUCUUGGCUAAGGUGUCUUGGCUAAUGUGUCUUGGCUAAGGUGUCUUGGCUAAGGUGUCUUGGCUAAUGUGUCUUGGCUAAGGUGUCUUGGCUAAGGUGUCUUGGCUAAUGUGUUUUGGCUAAUGUGUCUUGGCUAAUGUGUCUUGGCUAAGGUGUCUUGGCUAAUGUGUCUUGGCUAAGGUGUCUUGGCUAAGGUGUCUUGGCUAAGGUGUCUUGGCUAAGGUGUCUUGGCUUAUGUGUCUUGGCUAAGGUGUCUUGGCUAAGGUGUCUUGGCUAAGGUGUCUUGGCUAAUGUGUCUUGGCUAAUGUGUAUUGGCUAAUGUGUCUUGGCUAAUGUGUCUUGGCUAAUGUGUCUUGGCUAAGGUGUCUUGGCUAAUGUGUCUUGGCUAAUGUGUCUUGUCUAAUGUGUCUUGGCUAAGGUGUCUUGGCUAAUGUGUCUUGGCUAAUGUGUCUUAGCUAAGGUGUCUUGGCUAGUGUGUCUUGGCUAAGGUGUCUUGGCUUAUGUGUCUUGGCUAAUGUGUCUUGGCUAAGGUGUCUUGGCUAAUGUGUCUUGUCUAAUGUGUCUUGGCUAAUGUGUCUUGGCUAAGGUGUCUUGGCUAAGGUGUCUUGGCUAAUGUGUCUUGGCUAAGGUGUCUUGGCUAUAGUGUCUUGGCUAAGGUGUCUUGGCUAAUGUGUCUUGGCUAAUGUGUCUUGGCUAAUGUGUCUCGGCUAAUGUGUCUUGGCUAAUGUGUCUUGGCUAAUGUGUCUUGGCUAAUGUGUCUCGGCUAAUGUGUUUUGGUUAUUGUGUCUUGGCUUAUGUGUCUUGGCUAAGGUGUCUUGGCUAAUGUGUCUUGGCUAAGGUGUCUUGGCUAAUGUGUCUUGGCUAAUGUGUCUUGGCUAAUGUGUCUUGGCUAAUGUGUCUUGGCUAAUGUGUCUUGGCUAAUGUGUCUUGGCUAAUGUGUCUUGGCUAAUGUGUCUUGGCUAAUGUGUCUUGGCUAAUGUGUCUUGGCUAAGGUGUCUUAUCUAAUGUGUUUUGGCUAAUGUGUCUUGGCUAAUGUGUCUUGGCUAAUGUGUCUUGGCUAAGGUGUCUUGGCUAAUGUGUCUUGGCUAAGGUGUCUUGGCUAAUGUGUCUUGGCUAAGGUGUCUUGGCUAAUGUGUCUUGGCUAAUGUGUCUCGGCUAAGGUGUCUUGGCUAAGGUGUCUUAUCUAAUGUGUUUUGGCUAAUGUGUCUUGGCUAAUGUGUCUCGGCUAAUGUGUUUUGGUUAUUGUGUCUUGGCUUAUGUGUCUUGGCUAAGGUGUCUUGGCUAAUGUGUCUUGGCUAAGGUGUCUUGGCUAAUGUGUCUUGGCUAAUGUGUCUCGGCUAAGGUGUCUUGGCUAAUGUGUCUUGGCUAAGGUGUCUUGGCUAAUGUGUCUUGGCUAAGGUGUCUUGGCUAAGGUGUCUUGGCUAAUGUGUCUUGGCUAAGGUGUCUUGGCUAAGGUGUCUUGGCUAAUGUGUCUUGGCUAAUGUGUCUUGGCUAAGGUGUCUUGGCUAAUGUGUCUUGGCUAAGGUGUCUUGGCUAAUGUGUCUUGGCUAAUGUGUCUUGGCUAAUGUGUCUUGGCUAAGGUGUCUUGGCUAAUGUGUCUUGGUCAAUGUGUCUUGGCUAAUGUGUCUUGGCUAAUGUGUCUUGGCUAAGGUGUCUUGGCUAAUGUGUCUUGGCUAAGGUGUCUUGGCUAAGGUGUCUUGGCUAAGAUGUCUUGGCUUAUGUUUCUCGGCUAAUGUGUCUUGGCUAAUGUGUCUUGGCUAAUGUGUCUUGGCUAAUGUGUCUUGGCUAAUGUGUAUUGGCUAAUGUGUCUUGGCUAAGGUGUCUUGGCUAAUGUGUCUUGGCUAAUGUGUCUUGGCUAAUGUGUCUUGGCUAAGGUGUCUUGGCUAAUGUGUCUCGGCUUAUAUGUUUUGGCUAAUGUGUCUUGGCUAAGGUGUCUUUUCUAAGGUGUCUUGGCUAUUGUGUCUUGGCUAAUGUGUCUUGGCUAAGGUGUCUUGGCUAAUGUGUCUUGGCUAAGGUGUCUUGGCUAAUGUGUCUUGGCUAAGGUGUCUUGGCUAAGGUGUCUUGGCUAAGGUGUCUUGGCUAAUGUGUCUUGGCUAAAGUGUCUUGGCUAAGGUGUCUUGGCUAAUGUGUCUCGGCUAAGGUGUCUUGGCUAAGGUGUCUUGGCUAAUGUGUCUUGGCUAAUGUGUCUCGGCUAAUGUGUCUUGGCUAAGGUGUCUUGGCUUAGGUGUCUUGGCUAAUGUGUCUUGGCUAAUGUGUCUCGGCUAAGGUGUCUUGGCUAAGGUGUCUUGGCUAAGGUGUCUUGGCUAAUGUGUCUUGGCUAAAGUGUCUCGGCUAAGGUGUCUUUGCUAAUGUGUCUUGGCUAAGGUGUCUUGGCUAAUGUGUCUUGGCUAAUGCGUCUUGGCUAAUGUGUCUUGGCUAAGGUGUCUUGGCUAAUGUGUCUUGGCUAAGGUGUCUUGGCUAAGGUGUCUUGGCUAAGGUGUCUUGGCUUAAGUGUCUUGGCUAAUGUGUCUUGGCUAAGGUGUCUUGGCUAAGGUGUCUUGGCUAAGGUGUCUUGGCUAAGGUGUCUUGGCUAAUGUGUCUUGGCUAAGGUGUCUUGGCUAAUGUGUCUUGGCUAAGGUGUCUUGGCUAAGGUGUCUUGGCUAAGGUGUCUUGGCUAAUGUGUCUUGGCUAAUGUGUCUUGGCUAAGGUGUCUUGGCUAAGGUGUCUUGGCUAAGGUGUCUUGGCUAAGGUGUCUUGGCUAAUGUGUCUUGGCUAAGGUGUCUUGGCUAAGGUGUCUUGGCUAAUGUGUCUUGGCUAAGGUGUCUUGGCUAAGGUGUCUUGGCUAAGGUGUCUUGGCUAAUGUGUCUUGGCUAAGGUGUCUCGGCUAAGGUGUCUUGGCUUAAGUGUCUCGGCUAAAGUGUCUUCGCUAAGGUGUCUUGGCUAAUGUGUCUCGGCUAAGGUGUCUUGGCUAAUGUGUCUUGGCUAAGGUGUCUUGGCUAAGGUGUCUUAGCUAAGGUGUCUUGGCUAAGGUGUCUUGGCUAAUGUGUCUUGGCUAAGGUGUCUUGGCUAAGGUGUCUUGGCUAAUGUGUCUUGGCUAAAGUGUCUUGGCUAAU